rnacentral:rRNA from 1 species
UCCUACGGGGGGCAGCAGUGAGGAAUAUUGGUCAAUGGGCGGAAGCCUGAACCAGCCAAGUCGCGUGAGGGAAUACGGUCCUAUGGAUUGUAAACCUCUUUAGGCGGGGAGCAAUGCCGGGCACGCGUGCCCGGAGGGAGAGUACCCGCAGAAUAAGCAUCGGCUAACUCCGUGCCAGCAGCCGCGGUAAUACGGAGGAUGCGAGCGUUAUCCGGAUUUAUUGGGUUUAAAGGGUGCGUAGGCGGAUUUUUAAGUCAGCGGUAAAAUGUCCGGGCUCAACCCCGUCCGGCCGUUGAAACUGGGGG